rnacentral:pre_miRNA from 1 species
ACCCGUCCCGUGCGUCCCCGGACGUCGCUGUCUGCCCCGGGAACGUCGGGACUGGAGC